UACAGAGGGUGCGAGCGUUAAUCGGAUUUACUGGGCGUAAAGCGUGAGUAGGUGGCUCGCUAAGUCGGUUGUGAAAGCCCUGGGCUCAACCUGGGAAUUGCAGUCGAUACUGACGAGCUAGAGUUCGGUAGGGGAGUGUGGAAUUCCUGGUGGAGCGGUGAAAUGCGCAGAUAUCAGGAGGAACACCCGUAGCGAAGGCGGCACUCUGGGCCGGAACUGACGCUGAGGAGCGAAAGCGUGGGGAGCGAACAGG
rnacentral:rRNA from 1 species